rnacentral:rRNA from 1 species
AGAGUUUGAUCCUGGCUCAGAACGAACGCUGGCGGCACGUUUUAAGCAUGCAAGUAGAAUGGUAAAUAGGGGUAACUCUAUGAGAAUGGCGAACGGGUGAGUAACACGUAGGUGAUCUGCUUUGUAGUUGGGGAUAGCUUGUGGAAACACAAGGUAAUACCGGAUAAGCUGCACGGACUUUGGUUUGUGUAGGAAAGGGGCUUCGGCCUCGCUAUAAAAGGAGCCUGCGGCUGAUUAGCUAGUUGGUGAGGUAAGAGCUCACCAAGGCGACGAUCAGUAGCCGGCCUGAGAGGGUGUACGGCCACACUGGGACUGAGACACGGCCCAGACUCCUACGGGAGGCAGCAGCUAAGAAUCUUCCGCAAUGGGCGCAAGCCUGACGGAGCGAUGCCGCGUGAACGAUGAAGGUAGAGAUAUUGUAAAGUUCUUUUAUGAGUGAGGAAUAAGGCUGGUAGGUAAUGAUCGGCUGAUGACGUUAGCUCAUGAAUAAGCCCCGGCCAAUUACGUGCCAGCAGCCGCGGUAACACGUAAGGGGCGAGCGUUGUUCGGAUUUAUUGGGCGUAAAGCGCGCGCAGGCGGUUUUACAAGUCUGGUGUGAAAUAUCUGGGCUCAACUCAGAGGCCGCAUUGGAAACUGUAAGACUAGAGUUUUGGAGGGGGAGCUGGAAUUCCUAGUGUAGGGGUGAAAUCUGUUGAUAUUAAGAAGAACACCGGAGGCGAAGGCGAGCUCCUGGCUGGAAACUGACGCUGAGGCGCGAAAGCGUAGGUAGCAAACAGGAUUAGAUACCCUGGUAGUCC